rnacentral:misc_RNA from 1 species
AAGAAGAAGAAGAAGAAGAAGAGUCUUUGGGACCAAAAAGAUGAUCAAAAGAAGAAGCACCACUCUGCUGCCUCUUGUUUUCCAUGAUAUAUACCUAAUAAUUGAGAUAAUAGAUAGCACUAUGUAUAAAAAUUCUUUGUCAACCAACUAAAAAAACAGUACUGCUUUACGAUAGAUAUACGUAUCUCUUUGAGCAACUAUAACGACCUCCCUAGAAAAGACACCAAAAGGGAACAAACAAGAGGUAGCAGAAGCAGUAAUGGGUGGAUAAGAUUUGCAGAGCUAAAAAACAAGAAAAGAAAAAUCAAGAAAAUUAAGAAGAAAUAGUGAGCACGUGAAGAUCGCUGAUUUGGAGAUAUGCAGAGAGAGCAAACGGCCUCUGCAAUUUAUAAGCCCCAAAAGACGUUCUCUUUGGAUUCUAUUGCCCUGCACCAGCCCAUGUGCCUGUACUCAAUUCUCUCUCGACACAUGGACUCUUCAUCUUCUCUCCAGGUGGAAAUUCCUUCCAUCUCCAACCCCUUUUGGCCAUGUGUCUUCUUUGCCCAUAUCUUUGACUCUGUUU